rnacentral:rRNA from 1 species
CACUGCCCGGUAGCUAAAUGCGGAAGAGAUAAGUGCUGAAAGCAUCUAAGCACGAAACUUGCCCCGAGAUGAGUUCUCCCUGACUCCCUGAGAGUCCUGAAGGAACGUUGAAGACGACGACGUUGAUAGGCCGGGUGUGUAAGCGCAGCGAUGCGUUGAGCUAACCGGUACUAAUGAACCGUGAGGCUUAACCUU